GGGCUCGUCUCAUUGGCCCCCGGGGCUCCUCAGGACCGCCCUUAUUGGCCACCUCCCACUCUCAUGGGGGCGGGGCCCAAAGUCGCUGGAGUUUUGCUCCCGGGACGGGACGUCCGAGAGAUGAGAGGCUUACGUCGAGGUGACGCGCCAACUUAAUCACACCUGACGUCACGCCUGGUCGGCUUGCCUCACUGGCCGCUGUUGGCCAGGCUGGUUUGGGGGUGUGUGGGGAGGAAUCUCCUGCUAAUUUAGGUUGCCCAGGUUGCCUGGUCUGAUUCCCUGGAGGCCGAGCCCCGCCCCUUGGGGGCUACUUGGAGCUGGGAGUGCAGGGCGAGAGACUCUCUUCCUGCGCUGGUGGUCCAUGGAGAGGGAAAUUCCCUACCCCAAAUUGGUGGUCAAGUAAGGACUUCGUUCCCGACGGCUGCUUUAGCCUUGGAGUAGGGUGUGCCUGUGAGGGAAGAUCGCAGUCACUUGUGGAGAGUCGCUCCUCAGAACUCAUCGCUUUGAUGAGCGGCUGGAACUGGGGAGGAGGAUGCUCUUCUUCGCCAUCAUUUCGCCCGAAAUUUGAAAUUAGCGAGUUGGCCCCCGGCUUUGAAGAAUUCUACUAGAUUGUGUGAAGCCUCUUAACGAACGUGAACCGGUGCCUGACGCUUUGGUGCGGUGGGCACAGCAGAAAACGGAAAUUGAAGGGUUUUCCCACGCCGUGCCCAGUUGCCAUCCCGGAAAAAUGUAUUCCGUUCCUUUGGAGUUCUCAAAAGGAGGUGUUUGAGCUGUUGCUGUUAAGUGGAGGAGACCGGCGUGUGAGGGGGUGAGGAGGCUGGGCGCACUUUCCGUUCCUCGCGACGCUCCGUGUGUGGGCGUGGCUAAAGGAAGACGCCUAAUCCCGAGCGCUCUUCAGCGCGGCGUGUGGAUCGACUGGACAGGCUUCCGGUCAGACGAUGAGUUAACCGGGGAUCAGCGACACCAGAUAUUAAAAAAGCAAACUAUUCAAAGGCAUGAAACUACUGCAAGGUCGUUUGGUUUUUUUUUUUUUUAUCACAAAAUUUUUUUUGAGACGCUUUUUUGUUUCCCUCAGAUUAUAAAACAAAUGUAUAGGCAUUUAAUCAGUGUUUCCCAUAUUUUUAAAUUGUAUAGUGCCAUUAUUUUUUUCCGGACAGGUCCAAGUGGGAGUUUUCCAUGAUUCACCUCCCGCUUUUAAUCAAUCCUCUACCAUUCAUGUACACUACCUCUUGAUUCAGACCCUUGAGCCUUA
ensembl:lncRNA